CAGUAGCCGCGGUAAUACGAAGGGUGCAAGCGUUAAUCGGAAUUACUGGGCGUAAAGCGUGCGUAGGCGGUGAGUUAAGUCUGCUGUGAAAUCCCCGGGCUCAACCUGGGAAUGGCAGUGGAUACUGGCAAGCUAGAGUGUGUCAGAGGAUGGUGGAAUUCCCGGUGUAGCGGUGAAAUGCGUAGAGAUCGGGAGGAACAUCAGUGGCGAAGGCGGCCAUCUGGGACAACACUGACGCUGAGGCACGAAAGCGUGGGGAGCAAACAGGAUUAGAUACCCGUGUAGUCCCUGUCUCUUAUAC
rnacentral:rRNA from 1 species